UACGGAGGGUGCAAGCGUUAUCCGGAUUUAUUGGGUUUAAAGGGUCCGUAGGCGGAUCUGUAAGUCAGUGGUGAAAUCUCACAGCUUAACUGUGAAACUGCCAUUGAUACUGCAGGUUUUGAGUGUUGUUGAAGUAGCUGGAAUAAGUAGUGUAGCGGUGAAAUGCAUAGAUAUUACUUAGAACACCAAUUGCGAAGGCAGGUUACUAAGCAACAACUGACGCUGAUGGACGAAAGCGUGGGGAGCGAACAGG
rnacentral:rRNA from 1 species